UACGUAGGGGGCGAGCGUUGUUCGGAUUUACUGGGCGUAAAGGGCGCGUAGGCGGCGCCGCAAGUCGAGUGUGAAAGCCCCGGGCUCAACCUGGGAAUUGCGCUCGAGACUGUGGUGCUGGAGUUCGGGAGAGGAGCGUGGAAUUCCCAGUGUAGAGGUGAAAUUCGUAGAUAUUGGGAAGAACACCGGUGGCGAAGGCGGCGCUCUGGACCGAGACUGACGCUGAGGCGCGAAGGCGUGGGGAGCAAACAGG
rnacentral:rRNA from 1 species